AGGAAACCCAGACUAUGUCAUGCGUGAGUGCCACUCCAGAGUAUACGAAAGUGAGAACAUAUUAGAAAAGGUCUUACAGCUUCUCAAGCAGCUCUGUAGUUCCUUUAUUCCCAAUCUUCUCUUAACCCUCAUGUGCUGGUGUUGCUGGUUGAGGACAGUUUCAAAGCAAUAAUUUCAGAGCCUAUGAGCUGCCUCUGUUUAUACAAUGAUAUGUGUCACAACUCUCGUGGUUCCUGCAAAAGAGCUGUAAUUCUUCUCAGGAUUGGGGGUGCACACUUUAAAGGAGUAUGUUGAUAGAAACCUGUUACAGGAAUUCAUUUUCCCCUCAAGCCACUUCAUGGAAGCACAAGUACAAUUUGUAAAUUUAGUGAGACCAUAAUUCAGGGAUGCACUGGAUUUGGGCUUCAAACUGAGUGCACAGACAUCACUGGAAGACUUAGGGGAAAAAAAGGAAGAGACCCUCUGAACAAGGGGGAAAAAUUGUCAGAUGAAAAGGGUGAAACAGAAUGAUAACUGCCAGAGGAAGGGAUGAAGUUUUAUUUCCUACAACAACAUCCUUUCUUGUACUGCCUAGGUGAAGAGGAACAGAUGCUGCCAUGAAAGGGGUUUCCUAGAAAGUGGUGAAGAGACCAUAGCCUAAUGCAAGUAGAGAAUUGGGACCAGGAAAAAUAAAGCCAUGAAAUAAUGAGUCUGCUGUAUUAGAGUAAUGUGGAACAAGUGACAAUUUCAUUUUUUAAGAAUGCUG
rnacentral:lncRNA from 1 species